GGAUGCGAUCAUACCAGCAUUAAUGCACCGGAUCCCAUCAGAACUCUACAGUUAAGCGUGCUUGGGUGAGAGUAGUACUAGGAUGGGUGACCUCUCGGAAAGUCCUCGUGUUGCAUCCC
rnacentral:rRNA from 1 species